rnacentral:rRNA from 1 species
UACAGAGGUCCCAAGCGUUUGUUCGGAAUUAUUGGGCGUAAAGGGUGCGUAGGCGGUAGGAUAAGUUAGAUGUGAAAUGUCGGCGCUUAACGUCGAACCUGCAUUUAAGACUGUCCUGCUUGAGCGCUAGAGAGGAGUCUGGAAUUUACGGUGUAGCAGUGAAAUGCGUAGAUAUCGUAAGGAAGGCCAGUGGCGAAAGCGAGACUCUGGCUAGAUGCUGACGCUGAGGCACGAAAGCUGGGGGGAGCAAACGGGG